rnacentral:tRNA from 1 species
CGGUAGCGCAGCCUGGUAGCGCACCUGCUUCGGGAGCAGGGGGCCGCUGGUUCAAAUCCAGUCAUCCCGACCA